UACAAAGGUCCCGAGCGUUGUUCGGAUUUAUUGGGCGUAAAGGGUGCGUAGGCGGCGGAGUAAGUUGGGUGUGAAAUCCCGGGGCUUAACCUCGGAAUGGCAUUCAAUACUGCUUCGCUCGAGUACUGGAGAGGAGGCUGGAAUUUACGGUGUAGCAGUGAAAUGCGUAGAUAUCGUAAGGAAGGCCGGUGGCGAAAGCGAGCCUCUGGACAGUUACUGACGCUGAUGCACGAAGGCCAGGGGAGCAAACGGG
rnacentral:rRNA from 1 species